GCUGAUGCGUUGUUGGGUAGGGGAGCGUUCUGUAAGCCUGCGAAGGUGACCUGUGAGGGUUGCUGGAGGUAUCAGAAGUGCGAAUGCUGACAUAAGUAACGAUAAAGCGGGUGAAAAGCCCGCUCGCCGGAAGACCAAGGGUUCCUGUCCAACGUUAAUCGGGGCAGGGUGAGUCGACCCCUAAGGCGAGGCCGAAAGGCGUAGUCGAUGGGAAACGGGUUAAUAUUCCCGUACUUGGUGUUACUGCGAAGGGGGGACGGAGAAGGCUAUGUUGGCCGGGCGACGGUUGUCCCGGUUUAAGCGUGUAGGUGUGUGUUCCAGGUAAAUCCGGUUCACUUUAACACUGAGGCGUGAUGACGAGGCACUACGGUGCUGAAGCAACAAAUGCCCUGCUUCCAGGAAAAGCCUCUAAGCAUCAGGUAACAUCAAAUCGUACCCCAAACCGACACAGGUGGUCAGGUAGAGAAUACCAAGGCGCUUGAGAGAACUCGGGUGAAGGAACUAGGCAAAAUGGUGCCGUAACUUCGGGAGAAGGCACGCUGACACGUAGGUGAAGUGAUUUACUCACGGAGCUGAAGUCAGUCGAAGAUACCAGCUGGCUGCAACUGUUUAUUAAAAACACAGCACUGUGCAAACACGAAAGUGGACGUAUACGGUGUGACGCCUGCCCGGUGCCGGAAGGUUAAUUGAUGGGGUCAGCGCAAGCGAAGCUCCUGAUCGAAGCCCCGGUAAACGGCGGCCGUAACUAUAACGGUCCUAAGGUAGCGAAAUUCCUUGUCGGGUAAGUUCCGACCUGCACGAAUGGCGUAAUGAUGGCCAGGCUGUCUCCACCCGAGACUCAGUGAAAUUGAACUCGCUGUGAAGAUGCAGUGUACCCGCGGCAAGACGGAAAGACCCCGUGAACCUUUACUAUAGCUUGACACUGAACAUUGAGCCUUGAUGUGUAGGAUAGGUGGGAGGCUUUGAAGUGUGGACGCCAGUCUGCAUGGAGCCGACCUUGAAAUACCACCCUUUAAUGUUUGAUGUUCUAACGUGGACCCGUAAUCCGGGUUGCGGACAGUGUCUGGUGGGUAGUUUGACUGGGGCGGUCUCCUCCUAAAGAGUAACGGAGGAGCACGAAGGUUGGCUAAUCCUGGUCGGACAUCAGGAGGUUAGUGCAAUGGCAUAAGCCAGCUUGACUGCGAGCGUGACGGCGCGAGCAGGUGCGAAAGCAGGUCAUAGUGAUCCGGUGGUUCUGAAUGGAAGGGCCAUCGCUCAACGGAUAAAAGGUACUCCGGGGAUAACAGGCUGAUACCGCCCAAGAGUUCAUAUCGACGGCGGUGUUUGGCACCUCGAUGUCGGCUCAUCACAUCCUGGGGCUGAAGUAGGUCCCAAGGGUAUGGCUGUUCGCCAUUUAAAGUGGUACGCGAGCUGGGUUUAGAACGUCGUGAGACAGUUCGGUCCCUAUCUGCCGUGGGCGCUGGAGAACUGAGGGGGGCUGCUCCUAGUACGAGAGGACCGGAGUGGACGCAUCACUGGUGUUCGGGUUGUCAUGCCAAUGGCACUGCCCGGUAGCUAAAUGCGGAAGAGAUAAGUGCUGAAAGCAUCUAAGCACGAAACUUGCCCCGA
rnacentral:rRNA from 4 species